UGGGGAAUAUUGCACAAUGGGCGGAAGCCUGAUGCAGCGACGCCGCGUGGGGGAUGAAGGCCUUCGGGUUGUAAACUCCUUUCGACAGGGACGAAGCUUUUGUGACGGUACCUGUAUAAGAAGCACCGGCUAACUACGUGCCAGCAGCCGCGGUAAUACGUAGGGUGCGAGCGUUGUCCGGAAUUACUGGCCGUAAAGAGCUAGUAGGUGGUUUGUCGCGUCGUCUGUGAAAUUCCGGGGCUUAACUCCGGGCGUGCAGGCGAUACGGGCUGACUUGAGUGCUGUAGGGGAGACUGGAAUUCCUGGUGUAGCGGUGAAAUGCGCAGAUAUCAGGAGGAACACCGAUGGCGAAGGCAGGUCUCUGGGCAGUAACUGACGCUGAGGAGCGAAAGCUUGGGUAGCGAACAGGAUUAGAUACCCUGGUAGUCCAUGCCGUAAACGGUGGGCGCUAGGUGUAGGGGGCUUCCACGUCUUCUGUGCCGUAGCUAACGCAUUAAGCGCCCCGCCUGGGAGUACGGCCGCAAGCUA
rnacentral:rRNA from 1 species